UGCGUAGGCGGUUCGGUAAGUCUUGUGUGAAAUCUUCGGGCUCAACUCGAAGUCUGCACGAGAAACUGCCGGGCUUGAGUGUGGGAGAGGUGAGUGGAAUUUCCGGUGUAGCGGUGAAAUGCGUAGAUAUCGGAAGGAACACCUGUGGCGAAAGCGGCUCACUGGACCACAACUGACGCUGAGGCACGAAAGCUGGGGGAGCAAACAGGAUUAGAUACCCUGGUAGUCCUAGCCCUAAACGAUGAUCGCUUGGUGUGACGGGUACCCAAUCCCGCCGUGCCGAAGCUAACGCGUUAAGCGAUCCGCCUGGGGAGUACGGUCGCAAGGCUGAA
rnacentral:rRNA from 1 species